CGACGGCGGUGUUUGGCACCUCGAUGUCGGCUCAUCACAUCCUGGGGCUGAAGUAGGUCCCAAGGGUAUGGCUGUUCGCCAUUUAAAGUGGUACGCGAGCUGGGUUUAGAACGUCGUGAGACAGUUCGGUCCCUAUCUGCCGUGGGCGCUGGAAGAUUGAGAGGGGUUGCUCCUAGUACGAGAGGACCGGAGUGAACGCACCACUGGUGUACGGGUUGUGAUGCCAAUUGCAUUGCCCGGUAGCUAAGUGCGG
rnacentral:rRNA from 1 species